GAUGAACGCUGGCGGCGUGCUUCACACAUGCAAGUCGAACGAAGUGGCGAACGGGUGAGUAACGCGUAAUCAACCUGCCCUUCAGAGGGGGACAACAGUUGGAAACGACUGCUAAUACCGCAUACUGAAGGAGGGGUUUGCGUCUGAUUAGCUAGUGGGAGGGGUAACGGCCGACAAAGGCGAUGAUCAGUAGCCGGUCUGAGGGGAUGAACGACCACAUUGGGAAGGGGACACGGCCCAAAAUCCUACGGGGGGCAGCAGUGGGGAAUCGUCCGCAAUGGACGAAAGUCUGACGGAGCAACGCCGGGUGAGUGAUGACGGCAUUCGGGUUGGAAAGCUCUGUUAAUCGGGACGCGGUACCGGAAUAGAAAGCCACGGCUAACUACGUGCCAGCAGCCGCGGGAAUUC
rnacentral:rRNA from 1 species